CACUCCUACGGGAGGCAGCAGUGGGGAAUUUUGGACAAUGGGCGAAAGCCUGAUCCAGCAAUGCCGCGUGUGUGAAGAAGGCCUUCGGGUUGUAAAGCACUUUUGUCCGGAAAGAAAUCCUUGGCUCUAAUACAGUCGGGGGAUGACGGUACCGGAAGAAUAAGCACCGGCUAACUACGUGCCAGCAGCCGCGGUAAUACGUAGGGUGCGAGCGUUAAUCGGAAUUACUGGGCGUAAAGCGUGCGCAGGCGGUUUGCUAAGACCGAUGUGAAAUCCCCGGGCUCAACCUGGGAACUGCAUUGGUGACUGGCAGGCUAGAGUAUGGCAGAGGGGGGUAGAAUUCCACGUGUAGCAGUGAAAUGCGUAGAGAUGUGGAGGAAUACCGAUGGCGAAGGCAGCCCCCUGGGCCAAUACUGACGCUCAUGCACGAAAGCGUGGGGAGCAAACAGGAUUAGAUACCCCUGUAGUCCCAUGA
rnacentral:rRNA from 1 species